GAUGAACGCUAGCGGCAGGCUUAAUACAUGCAAGUCGAGGGGCAGCACAGGUAGCAAUACUGGGUGGCGACCGGCAAACGGGUGCGGAACACGUACACAACUUACCUUCUGGUGGGGGAUAGCCUUUGGAAACGGAGAUUAAUACCCCAUAUUAUAUAUGAGCUGCAUGGUUUGUAUAUUAAAGAUUUAUUGCCGGAAGAUGGGUGUGCGUAUGAUUAGGUAGUUGGCGGGGUAACGGCCCACCAAGCCGACGAUCAUUAACUGGUGCGAGAGCACGACCAGUCACACGGGCACUGAGACACGGGCCCGACUCCUACGGGAGGCAGCAGUAAGGAAUAUUGGUCAAUGGACGGAAGUCUGAACCAGCCAUGCCGCGUGGAGGAUGAAGGUCCUCUGGAUUGUAAACUUCUUUUAUAGGGGGCGAAAAAAGGGAAUUCUUUCUCGUCUGACGGUACCCUAUGAAUAAGCACCGGCUAACUCCGUGCCAGCCGCCGCGGUAAUAC
rnacentral:rRNA from 1 species